rnacentral:rRNA from 6 species
GCUGUAGCGCGGUGGUCCCACCUGACCCCAUGCCGAACUCAGAAGUGAAACGCCGUAGCGCCGAUGGUAGUGUGGGGUCUCCCCAUGCGAGAGUAGGGAACUGCCAGGC